rnacentral:rRNA from 1 species
GUGCCAGCCGCCGCGGUAAUACGAAUGGGGCAAGCGUUGUUCGGAUUUACUGGGCGUAAAGCGGGCGUAGGCGGCCGGCUAAGUCGGAUGUGAAAUCCCGGGGCUCAACUCCGGAACUGCAUUCGAUACUGGUCGGCUAGAGUUCGAGAGGGGGAUGCGGAAUUCCGCGUGUAGCAGUGAAAUGCGUAGAUAUGCGGAGGAACACCUGAGGCGAAGGCGGCAUCCUGGAUCGACACUGACGCUGAGGCCCGAAAGCGUGGGGAGCAAACAGGAUUAGAUACCCUGGUAGUCCACGCCCUAAACGAUGUCUACUAGCCGUUGCGGGUAUCGACCCCUGCAGUGGCGCAGCUAACGCGAUAAGUAGACCGCCUGGGGAGUACGGCCGCAAGGUUAAAACUCAAAGGAAUUGACGGGG